AGGAUUUUUUCUUCUGUCUUUAAUUUUUUCGUGAACGCGCAGGAGAGUUGCGCAUCAUUAAAUUAAGAGAAGAAACAGUCCAAAAUGGACCAAAGUACAAUGCCACAAAAGGCCAAACACAAGACCACCAAAUCCUGACCAAACACAAGACCACCAAUUCCUGCUACGCACAGGACUGCAGCUUCCUUCUGCGCAUGGAAACAGCAGCACGCAAAAGGACAGCAGCACAAGUGCUAGCAGGCCACACACCCACACAACUGCUCUUCACUAAGCCCCCAAUAGAACCCUUGAUCUGAAAAUUGCAGCACCAGGACCCAAAGCCUCAAGAUGUCUAGCAUCGGCAAGCCUCCAACACUCAAACUCAUCCAGAAAAACUGAUUUUAUUCCAUGAAUGGAAGGCCUGACGCCAUCAAAAACCGCCUUAUUACGAUGAAGCCAUAAACACCAAGCCCCCAAGAUGAUGAUACUAUUAAAGCCUCUUCUUUUGGAUUUGUGCACUUUCUUACACACCUUCUCCCACCAGUCAGCAAAAGUGGACUCAUUAGAGGCAGGAGAAAAAUUAGCCAGUCCCAGUGAAGAGAGAAUGUAGAACCAAAAUUGCCGCGCAAAAAUGCAAUUGCCUUUUCUAGCAACCUGUUCCUAUGAAUUUCUUUUAUUGACAACAUGAAUUAGUCUAUUUUAGUUCAUCUCUUUCUUGUCACAAAUUUAAAUGAAUAUAAUUGUUUGUUUCAGUGGCAAUUCUGUGAAGCCCAAAGGUUCCAAGUCACCAUGAGAAAAUUGAAAUGGCGAGAUCUCUUAAUCUAAUUGUUGCACCUUGGAAGGUCUGAACCAUCAGAGUUUAAUUGUAUCACCCAUUUACACAAGUUCCUACCAUCAGAGUUCAACUGUAUCACCCAUCCAUAAGCAAUUCCUUGUGUUGAAAUUUAUGAGAAGACAUAUGCCUCUGUUAAGGCAUGGUACCAUCUUCAUCAUGUAGCCUGGGAUGAGCUGGCACCAUGAAAGAAUUCAAGUGGUUAAAUCAUGCAUCUGCAAAAAUAUUGUACUCUCAAAUGGUGGGUUGCUGCGUCACGGGAGUUUGGGUGAAGGCCUGAAAGAUGUGAUUCAAAACGUCGAUGCAAGUUCAUGUCUUCUCCUAACAUUAUUCCUACUAUAUUUGAAUUUGAGGCACAUAUCAUGAAUUACUGCUAGGACAUUCUUAGUGUGUCAAAUAUGUCAUGUAAAGUGAAGUUCAGUGGUAUGAAUAAUGCUUUGUUGUUUACUGAAUGUUCAUUGUUCAGUGAUAGCAGCUUACACACCCCAUGCUUUCUUUCUCUAGGUCUGGGAUGUCCGUCUCAUUAUGGAUCAAAAUUCAUGACGUUCUAAAGGUGUCGGAUGAGUACCUAUAUACUCCCUCCAUCCCAGAAAACAAGGCGCCUCAUUACACUAUUGGAAGUUGGACGACAUGGAUGACUCUGGCAAGAUGCGGUAGGAGCACGACGACAUGGAUGACUCCGACCACGAGUCCGACAGGAAGCCUAGCAACAGUACGCAUUAGCAAGGUUGACCAGAGGGGCAGUGGAGAGUAACCCAACACCCCCUCCUCUGACCGUCAUAGCGCUUCUUUCCUCUGGCUUCAUUUCUUACCUAUGUAUGGAUGGUCUUCACCGCUGGUUACAUCUAGCAAGUCCUCCCAGGGUGACAUGAAGGAGAUUGUCAUGCUGCCAAAGCACAUCAAGGACAAUGCAAACAAGGACAGAGGAAGAUCGAACAUGCCAUUUCCAGGUGGUGACAUUUCUAUUCUCGCGCGCCCACCCAACAUUUUUGCUUUUACUAAAUGACUAUGUGCGUGAAUGCUUCGUGGUUGUUGAUAGGGAUUAUCUGUGCUUGACAAAACGGUAUCCCAGACUUGCAAUUACUCCAGAAUUUUCUAAGGUUGGGCAUUCUGUACAUUGAACUUUUGUUGCUGAUCGAUAUUCAAUGUGGCUUUAGGCAUUCUCUGUCACUCUAGCUAGGUCCUUGGAUGAGCCACACUAUUGACAUGGGUUUAGGAUAUAAUGCACAUGGGUUAGUUCAUCUCUUUUUCUUUUGCACCCAGGUAUGCCAUUUUGGGGAUUUCUCCACUAUGUAUGUUUAAAUGAGCACAUUAAUUAGAAGCCUUUUAUUAUCAUGUUGUUAUGUUAUAUGUUGUUUACUGCUUGCUUGGUGUAAUCUCUAGACCCGUGGAUCCAGUUGCUUUUGCAAGGGAAAGAGAUAUGCCUUCUGAUUCAGAUAGGACCUUAAAUGAAGACAAGUGUUUCAUAUCUUGUAGUAUGCCACAGGAGCAUCAAAAGAUCUUUGAAUUGGGCUGAAGAAAACAUAGAACAUAGUGUAAAAUCUUAUAGUGUAAUCUUAUAGUGUAAAAUUUAGAGUCUAUUGUCACCCAUACAUAUAAGUGCCUUGUGAAUGUUUAUGGAACCAGGGAAGAAGACAUUGUUCUGUAUGGCGAGUCUGUUGGUAGCGAACCAACCCUUGAUCUAGCUGUUCGUUUCAAUCGUGAAGAGAUGUGGUAUUAAUCAUAGAUAAGGGGUGUUUAGUUCCAGAGACUAAUGUUUAGUACGUGUCACAUAGAAUAUUUGAAUCUCAUUUUACUAUGGGUUUUGUAUAUCAUAGUGACAUUUGUCGUUAUGUAUUGAUGUUUUAUA